rnacentral:tRNA from 1 species
GGGGUUGUAGCUCAGUGGUAGAGCGCUUACCUUGCAUGAAUGGGCACUGGGUUCAAUCCUCAGCACCA